GAGUUUGAUCCUGGCUCAGAUUGAACGCUGGCGGCAGGCCUAACACAUGCAAGUCGAGCGGUAACAGAGAGUAGCUUGCUACUCUGCUGACGAGCGGCGGACGGGUGAGUAAUGCUUGGGAAUGUACCUUAUGGUGGGGGACAACAGUUGGAAACGACUGCUAAUACCGCACAAUGUCUACGGACAGAAGAAGCACCGGCUAACUCCGUGCCAGCAGCCGCGGUAAUACGGAGGGUGCGAGCGUUAAUCGGAAUUACUGGGCGUAAAGCGUACGCAGGCGGUUUGUUAAGCGAGAUGUGAAAGCCCCGGGCUCAACCUGGGAACUGCAUUUCGAACUGGCAAACUAGAGUGUGAUAGAGGGUGGUAGAAUUUCAGGUGUAGCGGUGAAAUGCGUAGAGAUCUGAAGGAAUACCGAUGGCGAAGGCAGCCACCUGGGUCAACACUGACGCUCAUGUACGAAAGCGUGGGGAGCAAACAGGAUUAGAUACCCUGGUAGUC
rnacentral:rRNA from 1 species